GCAAUGGAGGCAGUUCAGCAAAGUUUCACUCAGCUGAUCUCAGGUCUGGAGAACCUGCUUUUUUAGGGGGUCUUGGGGGACAGGGCCAGUAUCACUAUCUCUAAGCGCGAAGGCUCAGGUUCAAGUCCCAAGUAGUGUGAAGAACUCAUUGGAGGUUAGAAGAAUGAGACAAGACCUGACUGAAGUAUAUAAAAUUUAGAUAGAACUUAUCAGGGUAGACGUCGAGAGAUUGUUCAUGACUUGUGCAAGAGUCUAGGACUUGAGGGCAUGAUCUCACAAUAAGGUGUCGCCCACUCAACACAAAGAUGAGGAAUUUCUUCUCUCAGAGUGGAUUGAAUCAGUGGAAUUAUUUAUCGCAGAGAUCUGUCAAGGCUGGGUCAUGAAGUAUAUUCAAGGCUUGUGAUAGAUUUUUUCUUUCAGUGAGAAAACCGGGUGUUAUGAGGAAAAGGCUGCAUAGUGGAGGUGAAGACGAUCAGAUGAAACCAGCCAUGGCCUCGUGAAUGGCGGUGCGGCCCUCCUGCAACCUUCUCCAGUUUUACCAAGGCAGAUGACUGAUGGCGACGGUGAAGAUAAGCAACUCCCCAAAUUCAAGAUGUCGGAGUGUUGAAGUAAGAAGCUGAAAGCAACAUUCAUUUCAUGUUAUGACUUCAAGAAGGCCGGCAAUACUUGCAGGAGUGAUGGGUGUACACAACGUGGAUGGCUCCGACUAAAGUUUUCCGUGAAAUGUAUCUGCAGAGUUCGUCUCAACUGUUUCCUUGUGAGUUCCACGUGAGUACCGUUUUAUUCACAGAAAAGAUUUUUCUUGAAUUCCUGUUUGGAUGUAUUGGUGACUAUAUUGAUAGCCUGUACUUCUGCUCAUUGACACAAGAGUAAACCUCUUCCCUGCAUCCCCCAAGCAACAUCUUUCCAAACUUUCAAAGCCUUACUGCAAGACCCCUCAGCCUUCUCCAAUCAGAUGAAAUGAACCCAAUCUGUUCAAAUCUGAGAAACAUAAU